AAGAAUAUUAUCUUAUAAUUACAUUAAAAAUGUACAUAGUAUAAAAUUUAAUUUGAUAUUUGGCUAUUUGAUAAAAAAUGAUAUGAUUUUGAGUAUGAUAAACGUUCACAUCUUAAAGGACACAACUUUGUCAACACAAAAGGGAUAACAACAACUUUAAUUUGAAAAGUUUACUUUUAAAAGUUUUAUUUUUUCUGGCAUAUUUUUAAAUAAAAAGUCAGAGACAUUAUAACUAAGUCUCACUUGAACUAAGAACCAACUGACUCCGAAUCUAAAUUAUUUCAUGCUUAAUAUGUUUUACAUUAUUGGUAACUAAAUUUUAAUUAAUAAUUUCUAAAAAUAUCACGAUUUUGUAAAGGAAAUACCAUAUAUUGAUUUUAAUUAUUUGAUUUUUAUCUUCAUGUUUUCUCGGUAAACAUUUAAAAACAAUUUUUUCGUGUAUAUAUAACCUAAAGGAAUUAUUGAUAGUAAUUUAUGAUUAAUACUAAUCGAAACCUUGAAAUAAUUCAGAUUCAUAUGAAUCAGAUACCUGAACACAGUAGAUUUAUAAAAUAAUCCUUCAGUACAAACGUAUAGCAUCAAUCGUUAUGAACUACUAUCUUUGAAUUAAAUUAUCAAAACACAUCAAUAAUCAAGCGUUAAUUUUUUUAUUUAAUAUUUAACUUUGUGAUUACUAUGAUGUGGAAAAUUCAAAUAUUUUUAAUAUUUUUUGUAUGUCAUUGCUUAGGAUAUUCUCAUGACUCUGAUUUGCUCCAACUAAAUGAAGGUGAAAUAUGUGAGGAAUAUGAAAAUAAUAGUUAUAAUUUUAUUUGUCAACGCUACGAAAAUUGUUUGUCUAUCCAAAAUUAUAACGUUAAACAAUUAUAUAAUUUUCGGCUAUGUUCAUUUAAUAAAUUAGAUCCAAUUAUUUGCUGUCCACCAUUGAAAUAUAUAAUAGAUAUUGAAAAUUACACGACAUAAUAGUAUAAAACAAUUAUAUAACCUAAUCUUAAAAAUUAGUACAAUAGUUUAUCAAAUUGUUAUUCGUAUAAAAAUUGUUGAUUUAUUUAAUAUAUUUUUUGUCUGGAAUAAUAAACUCGGAAAAAAUAAAUUUGCAUUAAAAUUAUUUAGUUUUAAGUAUACUUAAAAUUAUUAUUUUAGCUUCGAUGCGAAGCUGAGAAGGUAUUGGUUUUACUAUGAUGUGUUUUUUUUUUGUGUCUGUAAUCACUUUUUCUCAGAUUUCACCAAACGGAUUUCUUUUAACGGUACUUCAAAAGAUCACAAAUCGUAUCUAGUCGAAGUCAUUACCCUCGAAAAUUGAAAAAAUUUCUCUCGUUCCCCGUAAAUGGGGGAAACCUCCAAAAAAAUUACAAAUUUAAAAAUCGUUAAUUUUCGAAAUUUUUUCAAUUUUUUUUACUUAAAACUGCCAUAACUUUUUCAAAAAUUAACAUUUCCAUAUAAUUUUUUUUUAUAAAUACUUGAUGUCUUUACCUAUCAUUUUAUAUAAUUUUUUAUAAAUCUGACCCUUUAUCUGCCCACGGGGGGAGAUUUAAAAUGACAACUUUUUCACAAAAAAUUUACUUUUACACUUAACUUUUGAAAGUGUUCCGGAAUGUCUGACACUUUUAUAUAUAUCUUAAAUUAAAGGUAAUGUAAUUUACUUCAUUAUGAAAAAAAAAAUUUCGGAUUUUAUUUUGUCUUCACAGUGAAAAUGGCUACCAAAUGCUAUUUUUGUGUGAAAAUUCUCGAUUUUAUUUUUUACAUUUUUAACUUUAUAAUGCUAUAACUUAUUGAAAAGUGUAUGGAUCAACACAAUUUUUUUAUGAGAAAUAAUAUUUUUUAAUAAUCCCUCUUUCAUUCGACAUACUUUAUCUUAAUCAGGAUAUUAAUUAGGAACUUGCAGAAGUUGUAGCUUUUGGAAUAAACCAUCAAUUUUUAAAAUUAAACACUAUCUAAAGAUUUGCAUCGAAGCUUUUUUUUUUAUAUAGUGAUUUUAAUCACUGUCAGAUAUCAUUAUACUUGAUUAAAUGUUAAUAUAAUAGAGGCAUAAUUAAAAAAAUAUUGUUAGGAGUUAACGUAAAAGUACAUUUUUAUUCAUAAUACCCAGAAAAAUAAAUGUUAGAAACACUAAAAUUUAAAGGAUUACAAAUUUUGUCGUGUUCCUCGAAAAAUGAAUUAGUUCAUGUUCCUCUUUCUUAAAUUUUUAAAGGAAACAGUUUCUAUUUUCGUUUCUACAAAAAGAACUCGUUCUAUUUGGAACGAAUUUCAUCUCAGCUGAUUUCUUACUACAAGAGAAUAUGCAUUGUAUAAUUCAUUCAUUUAGACUUUUUCAUUUAUUAUUUAAACGAUCCUUUAGUACUUGCUGAGCAAUCUUAUUAAACACUAUUCGUAUUUGUACUUUUAGUAUUGAUUAAAAAUUAAAAAAAAAGAUUUAUGUAAGGGAAAGUAGAGUAAGAUGAGCGAAAUUGUCGAUGAAGAUCAAUAACUUUUUAAAAAUAAUAUGUAUAUAUUUUUUACUUUCAGUAUGCAGUCGUUAAAUCAUAUAAGUAGUCAAUUAACAUUCGUUUGCUUUAAAUGAAGAAAUUAAAAAACAUCGUUUGCUUUAUGUAUAAAAUACAUGAAUAUUGAAUCGAGGGCACAAUAACUACCAUAACAUUGCUGAAAAAUGACUAUUAUUUAUAUUAAUUGUACUUGUUUUGUACGAGGCAGUUAGACUAUGGGAUAGCUAGUUUUGGACUGCACUAGAUUUUCAUUUUGCCUUAAGCCUGCUGCGUUUACUAGCGGAGCGAGUGAGAGAGGUCGUCUGGUUUAAUGCUGUUUGAUCACAAUGCUGUUUGAUAUCCAAAAAAUGACGUAUAGACAACAAUUAAGUAUCAAGUAAAUAAAUAUAUUAUUAGUUCUGCAAUGAAGAAAUCAUAAUCUAAAAGGCGUAGGGGCUCUUAAAUACUAAAAUGUCAGAUAUGGCAAAAAUGACAAAAUAUAUAAAACUUAAUAAAUAAAUAAGUAAUGUGUAGAUUUUUUUGACCAAGGAGUGUUGUCUGAUGGUAUAUGACGGUAGUGGACUAUAUGAGAUACUGUGAGUUGAAGCGAUAAAUACAAUGCUGAUUUUAUAGUGAACAACAAAAGAUGUAAGCAUAUAAGGACAUAGGAAAUAAAGAGAGUUAAGUACAAGGAUGCACAAAAAUAAAUAUAAUAAAAUAGACACAAAUUGACCAAAUGUCGAUACAACAUGUUUUAACAUAAAAUUAUUUUUUUUAACUUAAAUAUUUAAUAAGAGCGCGCAAUACAAAGAACAAAAUAGUUAUAAAUAUAUUUUAUUUCAUAUGUA